rnacentral:lncRNA from 1 species
CUUAGCAGGGUGAAAUUUAAAAGCGCAUAAACUAUACGAUACAAUAUGAGAAAUAUCUAAGCGACAUAUUGCGAAACAAACAUUUAUCGCAAGAACAAAAUUUGGCGGAAAAAAAAAAAUAAAAUAAUAAUAAUAAUAAUAAUCAGAACAAAAACAAUAAGUCUUUCCACAGAAAAGUGGAAAGACUUAAUAAUCAGAACAAAUACAAUAAGUAUGAAAGACUUAAUAAAUAUAAAGCAAUUGUUUUGAAAACAAUUGUUAGGCAGUCUUUCCCCUCUGAUGAAUGGAUAAUUGAUUUUUUUUAUUGAUUGAUUUGGGAAAAAGGGGGGGGGGGGGUAUUUGUUUAUUUGUUUGUUUGUUUGCUUUGGUAUGGGGUCUAUAUUAUUAUGUUACCGGAGAAGUUUCAUGUUUAGUUUGGAAAGUUUUUCUUUUAUUUUAGAUACAGCGCGCGCGCAAGAUUGAGGAGACAUCACGUGACGCGGGUUUAUAUUAAGAAAAACUUAGUCUUUUUAAUUUCUUUUUAGGUCGGGACGUUGAACAGACAACAUGUAUAGAGAUGGAAUGUACACAAUGUAAUUUCUUUUGUCAUUGUAGGAAAUUGACAUUUUGAUCACAGUUCACCAAGCAGUGCAUGUUUUGGAUUUAAUUCGAUCCGGUGUAACUUUAAAACACAUUUAAUGAUUAUUUUUUGAUAAUGUCCAUUUUUCAGCACCUGUUUGUAACACAGAUUAGUAUUUCAAUCUCGGAGCGGACAUUUUAUUGUAGGUUUUUACUGAGAUUGACGGACCUAGCAAGCGAUUUUUACGGCAUUGCCAUUUCUUUUUUUUCUAGGAAAAGUCUUGAGAGAUAUCUGCAAAAAGUUUUUUUAUGAACCUUCAGUACAUGUAUGCCCUGCUGACUGCAAAUUUUCAGGUCGAUUGGACUUGUAGUUUCAGAGAAUAUGUGGAUUUUUUUUCAGAAGAGACGUAAGAACAAUAAUAAAAUAAAAAUUUUCUUGAAUAAUUGAGAGUUUGUUCCUUCAAUAAACUGUCAUAAAUAAACAGUCAUACAUAUUGAUUGAUUGAUUAGUUGGUUGAUUGAUUGGUUGGUUGGUUGGUUGGUUGGUUUGUUGGUUGGUUGAUUAAACACGUUUGAUAGGGUCACUUAGAACAAGGGGAAAAAGACCUCAAGAGACCUUGCAUCCCGUAUUAAACGCAUGACACGGAAACAUACAUUAAGUGAUUGAUUGGUUGGUUGGUUGGUUGGUUGGUUAAACACAUUGGUUAAACAUGUUGGUUU